rnacentral:rRNA from 1 species
CUACGGGUGGCAGCAGUAGGGAAUAUUGCUCAAUGGGGGAAACCCUGAAGCAGCAACGCCGCGUGGAGGAUGAAGGUUUUCGGAUUGUAAACUCCUUUUGUUAGAGAAGAUAAUGACGGUAUCUAACGAAUAAGCACCGGCUAACUCCGUGCCAGCAGCCGCGGUAAUACGGAGGGUGCAAGCGUUACUCGGAAUCACUGGGCGUAAAGAGCGCGUAGGCGGGAUAGCAAGUCAGAUGUGAAAUCCUAUGGCUUAACCAUAGAACUGCAUUUGAAACUGUUAUUCUAGAGUAUGGGAGAGGUAGGUGGAAUGCUUGGUGGAGGGGUAAAAUGCGUAGAGAUCAAGAGGAAUACUCAUUGCGAAGGCGACCUGCUAGAACAUAACUGACGCUGAUGCGCGAAAGCGUGGGGAGCAAACAGGAUUAGAUACCCCGGUAGUC